AUCUGAAAGGCAGUGCCACCUCUGAAUUACAAAAUCAGUACUAUAUAUUUAGCUAUUCCAGA
rnacentral:tRNA from 1 species